rnacentral:lncRNA from 1 species
CUCGUAGUAACUUUGGCAGUAAUUUUGUUGGCAAUCUCAAGCGCCUUCUCAUCUUCUUCUUCUUCAGAGAUAACAUCGACAGUAGCUGCUGCUUCAGCAGCAACUGGAGACUCUCUUCCUGCUUUAUCAUCCGCUCAACCACAACCUCCACUCCUAACUACAGCGGCCGCAGCUCCUGCUCCUGCUCCUGCUCCUUCUCCUGCCCCUCAAAUAUUAGUGAGUCGCGCUCUCUCUCUCUCUCUCUCGCUCUCUCUCUCUCUCGCUCUCAAUUUUCUUAAUUAUAUAUCUCAAGUUAAUCUGGUGUUUUGUUGAUUAGGCAGCUGAUGUGUUGCAAGAGACGAUAAUCCAGAAAGUAGAGGGAGAUGCAACUAAUUAUACAGCUAAAAAGAAUGAUGACGUUGCUAAUAGAACAGUGUUCAUCAGCGGCAGCCAGCUUGAUAAAGUAGAAGCAAGUUUGGGUAGAGCAAGGUCUUCCAUAAGAGAAGCUGCUCUAGUUAGGAAUAAAACAUCUACACAUCAAGACCCUGAUUAUGUUCCUCGAGGUCCCAUAUAUCGCAACCCUAACGCCUUCCACAGGUAUACGUUUCUUAGAGAAAAAUCGACUUCGAUUAAUUAGUAAUUCAAAUUCAAAUUCACAGUCAAGCUUGCAUAUGAAAUUAUUAAUAAAUAUUUAGGAGUUAUUGAAUAACCAUUUCGUUUUCACUAAAACGUGAAAACCAAAAAGUGAAAAAAAAUUCUUAUAUUUUCAAAGUUAAGUUUUCAUUUUUUUCAAAAUAAUAAAACUAAACUUCCUUCUUGAGUUUUCAAAUUUUAGUUUUAAAUUUUCAGUUUUUUUUUUUAAACCGAAAAUAGUUACCAAACAAGUAAAAAUUACGAAAUGGUUAUCAAACAGACUCUUAAUAGAUUAGUUGUUGUUAUAUAUAUCAUAAAAAAAAAAAAAUGGAAAAUGGCAUGCAGGAGUUACCUAGAGAUGGAGAAAGUGUUCAAGAUCUACGUAUACGAAGAAGGAGAGGUUCCAAUAUUUCACGACGGACCAUGCAGGAGUAUAUAUUCAUCGGAGGGAAGGUUUAUUCAUGAGAUGGAGAAGGGCAAAAUGUACCGUACAAAAGACCCUCACAAGGCACUUGUUUAUUUCCUUCCAUUCAGUGUGGUUAACAUGGUUCAGUAUAUCUAUAUGCCUGAAACCUUUGAUCGAAGUGGCAUGAAGCGUGCUGUGGUCGACUACAUCAAUCUCAUCUCUCACAAACAUCCCUUCUGGAAUCGAAGCCUCGGUGCCGAUCAUUUCAUGUUGUCCUGUCACGAUUGGGUAGGUAUCUCACCUCUGUUAAUGACCUUCUACAUACAAUAUGGGAGGCUAAAUAAAUUUAAAAAAAAAAUACUUGAUUUUUAUUGGAUAAUACUUGCAUACUCCUAUUGCGAAUAACGUUCUUGAUUAUACAAAUUUCAUAAUCGAAAUUGUUCAAUUUGUUAAUCUUCAUUUGGAGAUCACCCCUACAAAAUCAUUUCAAUAGAAGAUCAUUUAGUCAUUAAAAUGUAUGGAACAAAUGGACAAUGUAGGUACAAAGUAACAUAUUCAUGAUAACCCGUCCAUUUAUUUAAUACAUUUAAUUAGAUGAUUAAAUGAUCUCGAAUUCAAAUUUUUUUAUUUAUAAGAUUGAUCUUCAAAUGAAAAUUAAUAAACUGAACAGUUCCGAUCGUUGAUUCUAUUCGAUCAAGAUAUAUUAUUCACAAAUGAAAGUAUAAGUGCAUCUUCAUAUUGGGAUGCAAAAGUCACUUGAAUUUUUUUUUUCUUUUUAACUACCAACCCCUUGCUUAAUAGUAAAAUAACCGUUUUCAUAAAAAAUAGUAAAAUAACCGUUUAUUAGCUUCCAAAUGCAUACAAGGCCAAUACCUGCACGCAAUCUGACAAUCCUCUCAUUUUCUCAUUUGUCUUCCUCUAUGUCUCUUUCAUUUUGCAUGUAAAGGGCCACCACUGCAAUUUGUGGUUUAGAGAUAUCUAGCUAGCCACCCACCUUAUAUGAUUAUAUUCUCUUUGAUAGAAAAAAUAAAAAUUAGUCACGAUGGAAGACUUAAGUAGGAAUUACUAAAGUUUUAGGUCGUUCUAGAGUAUGGAAUAUUCCGGAUCUUAAUUAAUUUUAAACAAAGGUUUAAAACAUUUGGAGUAUUCUCAUAUAUACGAUUGUAUAAUGGUUAAUAUUUAGUAGUGACUAGUCCAAUUGCGAUGGCGAUGUCAACGUGGCACCAAACUUCAAUUUCACGAGGGUUGAAACUUCCUUUAGGAAUGUGGUGUGUGGGGGGAGCACUUCAUACAUCGAAUAAUAAUAUUCUUCUUUGUUUCUUUUCUGGUAUAUCUCUGACUUUAUGUGGUGUCUAUUAUCUGUAUUUAUUUUAAUUUUAUUUUCUAGUUAACACGUAUUAACAAAAUGCCAAUCAUUCUUACAAGAUAUAUAAUUAUUAUUGACCUCAACCGAUGUCUUUAUCCCAACAUCAUCACUCAAUUAUUUUUCUUUCAUAGAAAAUAGAAUAUCUCUCAUGAUUAUUAUCGUUAUUUAUUUUGCAAAAAGAUUAUUAUCAUUAUUAAUGAACUAUUAGAAAACUCAUUUUCUUAAUUGUUUUGCUUUAUUAAGUUGUUAAAUAUUUUAAACAUAUAGAUCUAAACUAAUAUACUCUUGUGGUUAAUAUGCAUUUGGUCCUCAGAGGUCCGACUUUAGGAGACUGCAAUUUUAAUAUUUUUAUUUGGUUGUGGCAAAUUUGCAAGUCCUUUACCAAAACAAAAUUUCAAAAUUCAUAUUUUAGAAAUUAGGAAGUGUUUGUUUGUGGUACCAGCAAUACAAUACAGAGACUUUCUUUAUCAAGUGGCAAGUGCCUUAGUGGCCAUUGUCCUUUUCCGUAUCCGAUGUUUUUCUUUUUCUCUUUUUACUUCGAAAUUUCUGUGGGAAAUGCACAAUAAUAACACCUUUUGAAUGAGCUCCUACAAAAUUGACGUUGGUACAAAAACGGCUAUCUAUAUUCAGUAAAUGUUUCAUAUCCAUAUUUGGUAGAUAUUGAUAAUAUAGAGUUGCUAUUUGCAUAUUUAUAUAUAACGUCGAUAUUUGGUUGCAAUAUAAUUGUCAUUGCGUUGAUAUUUGGUUGCAACAUCGUCCUGCACGCCGUUUGAGUUGCUCCUUCGAGUCAUUUUUGUCGUCGGUACAAUUUGAUGUAAUUUUGUAAGUGCUUGUUUUAAAGGUGUACUGUGCAUUUCCUUUUUCUUUUUUUUUCUUUUUUUUCGAUUUGAAUGCUAUUAUUGACAUUCAAAAAUCUCAUUGUGCACUCUAAACAUUCUAUAUUUAUAAAGAAAAAUAUAUUUACGAGAAGUGUGGAAUACAAUUUUUAGGAUAUCCAUAAUAGCAAUCUUUGAUUUUGUUUUUUUUUGUUUUUAAAUUAAAAAACAAAUAUUUGAACGCUGAAUAUAUUCUAAUCUUAACAUUCACUCUGCCUCACGAAUCACGACUGACCUUUCCCUUCAUUUUUGUUAUAUCUUCAGUUAAUUGGAUCGUUAUAAUAGAACACACCUCAACUAAUUAAGGUCUAAAUCAAAUUUAUUAGUUGAAAUAUUACAUUUUGUUUCUUCUAGUUCUCUUAUUGCUAAGUUCGAUGGUUUGAGUGUAUUAGUUGGUUGAUGAUAUAAUUGAGCCCUUGUUCAUUUUACAGGGACCAACUACGACGUCCUUCGUCCCCGACUUAUUCCACAACUCCAUCAGAGUUUUGUGCAAUGCGAACACUUCAGAAGGAUUCAAUCCAUUGAAAGAUGCGUCAUUUCCAGAGAUUAAUUUGAAAACAUCGGAGAUGCCAGGAAUUGGCGGUCGGCCUCCAUCGAAGCGAUCCACACUAGCUUUCUUUGCAGGGCGUCUACACGGCCACAUCAGGUACCUUCUCCUAAACGAAUGGAAAGGCAAAGACCAAGAUGUGCAAGUUUAUGACCAACUUCCUCGGAGAGUGUCGUACGAGAACAUGCUCAAGAGUAGCAAGUUUUGCUUAUGCCCUAGCGGGUACGAAGUGGCAAGUCCAAGAGUGGUGGAAGCAAUUUAUGCCGAGUGUGUGCCGGUGUUGAUUUCAGAUGGUUAUGUUCCUCCAUUCAGCGAUGUUUUGAACUGGAAGUCAUUUUCUGUACAAAUUCCGGUCAAGAAUAUAUCCGACAUCAAGACCAUAUUGACAGCCAUAUCGAGCAGACAGUACCUCCGAAUGCAGAGGAGGGUGAAACAAGUGACGACAUUUUUUGGUGAAUGGACCCCCGAAGAGAUACGAUGUUUUCCACAUGAUUGUUCACUCCAUCUGGCUCAGACGAUUAAACAUUCGCAUUCAAGAUGUAUUCACCUAAUUGAGUUCAUCUAUUUAAUUAAUAAAAGAGAUAUUUUGGAUGCAAUCCCUAAUCUUUAGCAUUCUUUGACUAAAACCUUAAUGAUAUUCUAAGUUUGAUCAAAAUCCCUUGACUUUGUACACCUCAUUAUAUUACAAUUAAUAUUUAUAUUUUUAUAGUUUUGACAUUAAUUGUUUGAUAUUUUAAGAGAUUUAUAAUCCUAUAAAUUUAAAAUCCCUCAUUAUAAUACUAUUAGAAACGGUUACGAUAAAAAAAUUCUAACAUUUUGAUUGAAUAAAUGGAUAAAAACUAUGUAAAAAUAAGAAAUAAUAAAUGGCAAAAGAAUGUAUUCAUAGUGUUAAAAACAUUGGUACAUUUCACAUAUAACAAGGUGGUACAUUAAUAAAGAAGAGUGGGUACAUUAUAAAUAAAUUAGGGUACAAAUAAAAGAUUAAAAAAUAUAGGCGCUAAAAAAAAUUAAUACACGGGUACAAAAUAAAACUAAAAAGAAAAUACUACAAAUUUAAAAAAAAAUGUUGCAAAUUAAAAAUGGGUACAAACUAAAAAUAUAAAUAUAUGAUACAAAGUUUAGGCAUAAACAUAAAUAUACCAUAUGUAAUUUUUCUAUUAUUAAUUAAAUAUACAAUAUCACGUGACGGUAUACACAUGGAUACAAAUACAAAUAAAACUUUAAAAAAUAUGGGCACAAAAAGAAACUAAUAUAUGGGUACAAAUUAAAAAUGAAAAAAAAAAUUGGUACAAAUUAAAAAUAGGUACAAACUAAAAAUGAAAAUAUAUGAUAAAAAAUUUACCAUAAAUAUACUAAUUGUAACAUUUUUAACACUAAAGGAAUAUAUUUAAAAAUAAAAAUAUUUUAUUAUUCAAAUAAUUAAUGAUGUUAUUAAUAUCCAAGAACCUUAAUAAAAAAUUGAAAAGAAUAGGAUUUUAAUCAAUGAAAUUCCUUCAAGAUGUUUUCCACAUGGUUGUUACUGCACAUAUAUCAUCCGAUUGUCUUACGAGGACCUAUGCGUACACGUACGUCUAACAAAAAAAGUUCGACGCAGGCAGUUGCGGGCACAUAAGCUGUUAACAAAUUUUCAGACAUAAUAUAAUUAUAUAGAGAUAUAUAUUCAUAAUACAAACCUGAGGCCAUAAGAUAUAAGAUCAUAUAUGAAACAUGUGAUCAAAUAUGGAAGAAGCCUCGGCAGCUAUAUUCUCCAGCUUUCUACCAUACUAACAGAUCAGAAACCCUCACCAUAUCAACUAUCAAUAUAUAAAGAAAAAAACUUAAGAAGCUUUCUACCAUACUAACAGAUCAGAAACCGUCACCAUAUCAACUAUCAAUAUAUAAAGAAAAAAACUUAAGAAAAUAAAAACCUGGUCAGACAAGGCACUCCUCGAGUACAACAGUCAAUCAAUCCAUGCUUCCACUGCGAGAGCUACUGGCAUUGCGACUAGGUAACGAGAGACCCCUCGCAUGGCCAGCCAAACCAGAACCAAUGUCCUGGUUUCCUGGAAGUAUUUUUCCCUCUCAUUUUCUUCUACCCCCAUCCAAAACUGUUUCUUCCUAUUCCAAACAAAAUCAGAUGGCUAAAAUAUUUGUAUUAGUAAUUGUUGUAAGAUUGAAGCAUAUUUAAUAAUUUUUCAUUAUUUAUCAGAUUCUAAUUAUUUUUAAGUUAAAAUGUUCAUAAUAAUAUAAAUUAGGAUAAUCUACAUAAAUUUAUUUUUAAAGAAGUUAACUGCAAAAAAAAAAAGGUCUAAAUUUAUUCUUCAAUAAUCUCGGGCAAAUAUUUUAAAUCCAAAACCAUUGGAGGAUAAAAACUGUUUUUAUGGGUUAAAGCUUAAAUUUUUUAGGCUAAAAAUUUAGUAUUGAACCCAUAAAAACAGUUUUUAUCCUCCAAUGGUUUUGGCUUGAAAUUCAGUAUUUAACCUCAACCAGUAGAGUUGGUCUUAGUGGAUACGUAUGGAUAGGAUAUGUAUAUAUGGAUACUAGUGCUGUGCAUGUUUGGUGGAUGUAUAUGGAGCUAGCCUUUAAGGAAUUAGCUAGGACACUAGGAAGAGAUUAUCAGCUGGAGAAAAAUGAGGCCCAGUCGUAACAAACCAGUUUCAUCUUUAUCCUCGAUUUUAGUGGGAUUAAUACUCGUAUUAACUUUGGCAGUAUCUUUGUUGGUAAUCUCAAGGGCUUCUUCCUCCUCCUCCUCAUCUUCGUCUUCUUCAGAGACAACAUGGAAAGUAGCUGCAGCUUCAGCUGGUGGUAGUAGUGAUAUUAAUACUACUACUACUACUUACUCUCAUGCUGCUUUAACAUCCACUCAACCACCACCACAACCUCUACUUUUUAGUUUCUCUUCACUAAAUAACCUAAAUACAGCCAACUCAUCUCCAGCUCCUGCUCCUGCCCCUCAAAUAUCAGUGAGUCUCUCUCUCUCUCUCUCUCUCUCUCUCUCUCUCUCUCUCUCUCUCUCUCU